AACGAACGCUGGCGGCGCGUCUUAACCAUGCAAGUCGAGCGGCAGGCAGCAAUGCCGAGAGCGGCGGACUGGUGAGUAACACGUGGAUAACGUACCCCGAUGUCCGGGACAGCCUGUAGAAAUAGAGGGUAAUACCGGAUAGAUCACUGUUUACGUGAGGUAGACAGCGGGAAAGGAGCUUCGGCUCCGCGACGGGAUCGGUCUGCGGCCCAUCAGCUGGACGGCGGGGUAAAGGCCCGCCGUGGCGAGGACGGGUAUCCGGCCUGAGAGGGCGGACGGACACAUUGGGACUGAGAUGCGGCCCAGACUCCUACGGGAGGCAGCAGGUAAGAAUAUUCCGCAAUGGGGGGAACCCUGACGGAGCGACGCCGCGUGAACGAAGAAGGCCGGAAGGUUGUAAAGUUCUUUUCUGUCCGAGGAAUAAGUUUCGGAGGAAAUGCCGGGACGGUGACGGUAGGGCAGGAAUAAGCACCGGCUAAUUACGUG
rnacentral:rRNA from 1 species